rnacentral:rRNA from 1 species
UAGGGAAUCUUCCACAAUGGGCGGCAAGCCUGAUGGAGCAACACCGCGUGAGUGAAUAAGGGUUUCGGCUCGUAAAGCUCUGUUGUUAAAGAAGAACACGUAUGAGAGUAACUGUUCAUACGUUGACGGUAUUUAACCAGAAAGUCACGGCUAACUACGUGCCAG